ensembl:misc_RNA 7SK 7SK RNA
GAAUGUGAGGGUGGUGCGGCUGUGACAUCCAUCACCCCACCGUUGGCUGGGGUUGAUUCGGCUGCUCUGGCUCGCUGGUGGGCACCCCCAAGCCUCUCUCCCGAAGCUGCACAUUUGAUCAGAGAGGACAAAAGCUGUGCUCCCCUGAUAGAACCUCUGGACAGGCUCUCAAAAUAAAAAUACAAAAUGGACAGUGUCCCUCAGCGGAAGGCGGCACAAUGUGGUGCUUGCUUCUCCGU